rnacentral:tRNA from 1 species
GGUCCUGUAGCUCAGCUGGAUAGAGCAACGGUUUUCUAAACCGUAGGUCCCUGGUUCGAAUCCAGGCGGGACUA